rnacentral:rRNA from 1 species
CCAAUAGCGUAUAUUAAAGUUGUUGCAGUUAAAAAGCUCGUAGUUGAAUUUCGGGAUCAAUAUGUCGGUCGUGCCUCGGUACGUACUGGCAUCAUUGGUUUCUCCCUUCUGAUGAACCAUGAUGCCAUUAAUUUGGUGUCGUGGGGAAUCAGGACUGUUACUUUGAAAAAAUUAGAGUGUUUAAAGCAGGCUCACGCUUGAAUACAUUAGCAUGGAAUAAUGAAAUAGGACGUUUGAUUCUAUUUUGUUGGUUUCUAGGAUCGACGUAAUGAUUAAUAGGGAUAGUUGGGGGCAUUAGUAUUCAAUUGUCAGAGGUGAAAUUCUUGGAUUUAUUGAAGACUAACUACUGCGAAAGCAUUUGCCAAGGAUGUUUUCAUUAAUCAAGAACGAAAGUUAGGGGAUCGAAGACGAUCAGAUACCGUCGUAGUCUUAACCAUAAACUAUGCCGACUAGGGAUCGGAUGAUGUUAAUUUUUUAAUGACUCAUUCGGCGCCUCACG